GUGGGGAAUAUUGGGCAAUGGGGGCAACCCUGACCCAGCGACGCCGCGUGAGGGAAGAAGGCCUUAGGGUCGUAAACCUCUGUUGUGUGGGAAGAAGGAAGUGACGGUACCACACGAGGAAGUCCCGGCUAACUACGUGCCAGCAGCCGCGGUAAUACGUAGGGGACGAGCGUUGUCCGGAAUUACUGGGCGUAAAGGGCGCGUAUGCGGUCAUUUAAGUCAGCUGUGAAAUGGUCCGGCUCAACCGGAUCAUGCGGUUGAAACUGGAUGUCUGGAGUGCUGGAGAGGCAAGUGGAAUUCCCAGUGUAGCGGUGAAAUGCGUAGAUAUUGGGAAGAACACCGGUGGCGAAGGCGACUUGCUGGCCAGCAACUGACGCUGAGGCGCGAAAACCAGGGGAGCAAACGGGAUUAGAAACCCGUGUAGUCC
rnacentral:rRNA from 1 species